CGUGGGGAACCUGCCCCAUAGUCUGGGAUACCACUUGGAAACAGGUGCUAAUACCGGAUAAGAAAGCAGAUCGCAUGAUCAGCUUUUAAAAGGCGGCGUAAGCUGUCGCUAUGGGAUGGCCCCGCGGUGCAUUAGCUAGUUGGUAAGGUAAAGGCUUACCAAGGCGAUGAUGCAUAGCCGAGUUGAGAGACUGAUCGGCCACAUUGGGACUGAGACACGGCCCAAACUCCUAGGGAGGCAGCAGCC
rnacentral:rRNA from 1 species